AAACCAACCGGGAUUGCCCUAGUAACGGCGAGCGAAGCGGCAAAAGUCCAAAUUUGAAAUCUGGCGUCCUACGGGCGUCCGAGUUGUAAUUUGAAGAUGGUAACUUUGGGUUUGGCUCUUGCAUAAGUUCCUUGGAACAGGACGUCAUAGAGGGUGAGAAUCCCGUUCAUGGUAAGAUGCCCAUUCCUUUGUAAAGUGCCUUCGAAGAGUCGAGUUGUUUGGGAAUGCAGCUCUAAGUGGGUGGUAAAUUCCAUCUAAGACUAAAUAUUGGCGAGAGACCGAUAGCGAACAAGUACAGUGAUGGAAAGAUGAAAAGAACUUUGAAAAGAGAGUGAAAAAGUACGUGAAAUUGUUGAAAGGGAAGGGCUUGAAGUCAGACUUGGUAUUCAGUGAUCAACUGUCUUUCGGGACUGUGCACUCGCUGUUUACUGGGCCAACAUCGGUUUUGGCGGCGAGAUAAAUGCAUUGGAACGUGGCUCUAUCUUCGGGUGGAGUGUUAUAGCCUUUGUAAAUAUCGCCAGCUGGGACCGAGGACUGCGCAUCUGCUAGGAUGUUGGCGUAAUGACUUUAAGCCACCCGUCUUGAAACACGG
rnacentral:rRNA from 1 species